rnacentral:rRNA from 1 species
ACGUUAACGAACGAGACCUUAUUCUGCUAAAUAGCUGGGCCAACUUUUUAGUUGGUAGUAUGGUGCUUCGGCACCCCAGCUUCUUAGAGAGACUACUGAAUUCAAUUCAGUGGAAGUUUUAGGCAAUAACAGGUCUGUGAUGCCCUUAGAUGUUCUGGGCCGCACGCGCGCUACACUGACAAAGUCAGCGAGUUUUUGAUCCUUGGCCGGAAGGCUUGGGUAAACUUUUGAAACUUUGUCGUGCUGGGGAUAGAACAUUGCAAUUAUUGUUCUUCAACGAGGAAUUCCUAGUAAGCGCAAGUCAUCAGCUUGCGUUGAUUACGUCCCUGCCCUUUGUACACACCGCCCGUCGCUAAUACCGAUUGAAUGGAUA